GUUCCUGUAGUGCAAUGGAUAGCACGUUGGACGCCUAUUCUAAAGGUCAAGGGUUCAAACCCCAACUGGAAUG